AAACGAACACUCAAGAACUCACCAUCACCAUGAAGACAGUCAAUGCUGUUUCUCUUUCUUUGCUCCUCCUGCUUGCAGUGGGAAUAGAAGGCAUGAUCACCUCUUUGAGGAAUAGGUGUUUGUGCCAAAGGACAUCUUCCGGAAGGGCUAUACAUCCGAGACAUGUGAUCGACUUCAAAGUCUUCCACCCCAGCCAGUCCUGCGACAAACUCGAAUAUAUAGUGACACUUUCCUUGGGGAAACUCUCAAGAGAGCUGUGCCUAAACCCUUCACCAGAAGUACUGAAAAAGUAUGAACAGUACCAAGCUUCGAAGAAGACCCAACAUAGAAGAAGAAACUAAUUUCAUCCAGGCAAAGGGUGAUGGUCUCCGUUGGAUGGCCCAUGGAUGCCUCAGGAACAAAACUGCCUCAACCAAAGAGGAAGUCUGCAGGGUUGUUAUAUAUUUUUGUACGUAAUAUACAAGCUAAGGCAUCAUACAAUUUGCUGGACUUUGUUAGCACUAUGGCUUAGCUAUUUAAAUAUAGCCAAACUGUGUUGAAUGAACCAAACAAUGGUUAAACAAGUGUUUGAAGCCAGUCUGUUUGGGAGAGUCCUAUAGGUUUCCCACUUGGUUGCAUACUGUAUCACAUCAAGCAGCUACUUUUAUCUGGGCUAAUUAGGUGUUUUUUAUUUAUCAAAUGUAUAUGUAGCAUGAUCCCACCCAAGUUGCAUUUAAGCCAUCGUUCAGGACUUGUGAAAAAAGCCAGUUGUGAGCCUAAAACCAAAAUCAAACGAAGUAUGUAGGCUCUAGGUUUUGUCUGAGAGGUAGUGCAAACUAAGUGGGUCAGAGCAAUCGAAGUAAUUAUCCCAAAAAACAUGUAAUCAUUAUUGGUGGGUUCCAAAAAGCCAUGCGAUUAACUUUAAGUAACCAAGUACCUUUGAACCUACAUUUUGAAAAUAGAGAAAAUAUAUAGCUCAGGGUUACACUGUUGGACUGCAGAAGUCUUCCGAGUCAGUAUUUCCAUGGCUAUUGCAAAUGUUUAUGGCUGCAAAUUGCAAUGAGCAAUGUUAUAAUGUGAACACUCUACCCUUAAAGGUUAUAUUGGCCUGGACCCUGCUAAGUGAUGAAUUCCAGAACAUGAGAUUUUAUAGGUUAAAUGGCAUUGUUGUUGGCCUGCUGAUAAUCUUUGGUUAAUUUUGUCAGCAUCCCUUAUUGGUUCUUUUAUGUUUCAUUGACAUUGUUUUAUUGUUUUGAAUGUGUGGUAAGCCUCGCAGAGUGGACAGCUGCACAAAUUAAUUUACCACAGAAAUAACCAAAGAUUAAGCUGGAAUGAGAUCACAGUAUCACUUCUCUUUCUUACUCAACAAUCAACCCAAUGACCCAACAGAACAGUCUUGCAGACAAACACCGCAUUUAACAGGGUAGCUCACCGAUGACAUGUAAUGUAAAUGUUACAUGUAAUUACAUGUAACAUAUAUUAAUAUAUUUUACAAUGGAAAAAUCCCAGCUGGUAGCAUUGUAGAUAUGAUUCAGCAAGCAAUGAAAUAUCUGCGAAUGGAAUGGAAAACUAAACUGGAAAACUAUUAUUGAAGAAAGUUUCUCAGUCUUGUUGGAACUGCUUUAAAAUGUAUAAAAUAUAAACAUGUGCAAGGAAUCCACUGUGAUAUGCUCUUAAGACUUUAGAUAUGCCUACAUAUCUAACUCUUUCAAUCUGCUAAAGUUAAUAAUAUAAUUUAUAUUAUUCAACCCACAUUGGAUAGGAAUUUAAAAUUAAUCUCUUCACUCCAAGAAAUCUGUAGAAUUCAAUCCUCCUUUCUAUUUUAUGUAACACAGGCAAAACUAUUUUUUCAUGUCAGUUCUAAAGAUUUGCUUCUCUUAAAUGUAUUGUCAAAUAUGUGAAACAGGUACAUUUAAACCACGGAUGAUGUAAUACACAUUCGAUCAGUUCUUAAACUGUUACAGAUAUUGUUUACAGCUAUAUUUGAAUAUGUAACUUGUACUUGUUAUGUGUAUUCAGGAAAAAUGAAAUUAAUAUCAGGAUGCCUUGUAAACAUAUGCCUGUUAAUGUUUUAAAGAAAAUAAUGUAAAUUAAGUC